UUAAAAAUCGACAGUUUUCAUUAAACUAAACUUUAAACUACCGAACUGUGUCGUUUUUAAUAUUAACACAUUCUCAAUAUUGAUGUAAAAUGAGUUCAAAGUACGAACGGUACUGGCAUUUUGUGUUAAAACUGCUGAAUUCGGCCAUUUCAGACUCAAAAUUCGCUUAUUAGCAACCCUUGCUUUGAUUAACAAUUUAUAACAGCUAUUACAUUUGUUAAUUCCAUUUAAUAUUUUCCUAACCAGAAAUCAAAGCAAGGGUUGCUAAUAAACGAAUUUUGGAAAAAAUGAUAAUAUUUGUCUGGCCUUUUUCACGUAUGCGAGUAGCCUCCCUUGAAGCUAGUUGCUCGUUGCCAGGCAAUAUUAUAGGUGGCGCCACUGUCAACAUGUGGAUGUGAAAACGAAAGUAAAUUAUUUAUCGUGGAAUAAUUACAAUUAUUGUUUACCCUUCUACGUGGAAUUUAUAUGGUAAUGGUAUGAAUUGAGAUGAUUUAUUUAGUUACCUUCAACUGUUCAGUGGUCAACAAGAGAGUAUUAUUGUGUGUCUUGAAGCAUUGAAUGCCCCAAAACAACCAGUAUGAUAAGAAGGUAUACCAUUUAGAUUGAAAUUAGCCAUGGACAAUGAAUUUGGAGGUGCAUGCAGGAGCAUCAGAAAUAACAGACUUGGAAUACAUAUUUUACAUAAUAUACAAGUAACAUUUACUGAAAAGUGACAAAUGUUUAUGUUAAUAAAGUGCAAUAUCCAUUUUUGUAACAUUUACAUGGGGGUAAUAAUUACAGUGUUGAAAAAGACUACCAGUGAUACAUUUCAAUCUAAGUUACAGUGUGGAUGCUAAUUCUAAAUUCUUGAUAGUCAAGUGUUUUUAAUAACUUAUAGAUACUAAUUAUAUAUCAAACUGUUUAA
rnacentral:lncRNA from 1 species